rnacentral:rRNA from 1 species
AAGGAUCAUUAUUGAAAAUAAACCUGAUGAGUUGCUGCUGGUUCUCUUGGGAACAUUGUGCACGCUUAUCAUCUUUAUAUAAUCCCCUGUGCACCUUUUGUAGAUUCUGGGAUAGCUCUCUGAAUGCUUAUUUUGUAAGCAGACAGGUUUGAGGACUGACAUUUGUCUUUCCUCGUCUUUCCAGGUCUAUGUUUUCUUCAUAUACCCCAAAUGUAUGUUACAGAAUGUAAUCAAAUGGGCCUUUUGUGCCUAUAUGAAAAAUGUACAACUUUCAGCAACGGAUCUCUUGGCUCUCGCAUCGAUGAAGAACGCAGCGAAAUGCGAUAAGUAAUGUGAAUUGCAGAAUUCAGUGAAUCGUCGAAUCUUUGAACGCACCUUGCGCUCCUUGGUAUUCCGAGGAGCAUGCCUGUUUGAGUGUCAUUAAUAAUAUCAACCUUGCUCGUUUGAGUGUUGGAUGUGGGGGGAUAUUUGCUGGUCUUUCUCUCUGAGGUCAGCUCCCCUGAAAUACAUUAGCUGGAACAACUUGUUGAUCGUUCAUUGGUGUGAUAACUAUCUACGCUAUUGACGUGAAGCAGUUCGGCUUCUAACAGUCCUUUUUUUCAUUAAAUGUGACCUCAAAUCAGGUAGGAUUACCCGCUGAACUUAA